rnacentral:lncRNA from 1 species
UAAAUGACUGAAUAACCAUCUAAAAUGAAUACUUGAUACUAGAACUUUUAUUUUUCUUUCAUUUACAGAAGAGUUUGGGAGGGUAGAUGACCUUGCAACAGACUUGUCAAAAUGGGGAAAAAAUGAAAAAAAGAAAGAAAAUAAUGACAUUGAAACAUCAUUUAAAAAAUUCAAAGAGGACUGAUAUAAGGCAUUCUACUAAGUACAGAAGAUACAAAAAAAGAGAAAAUAUAUAGUCCCUGACCUCAAGGAGUUCACAAUCUAAAAGGAGACACAACAUUCAAACAACAUACACAGAGAAGCCUACAUACAGGAUGAAUUAAAAAAAGUAAUUAAAAGAGAGAAGGCACUAGAGCAAAAAGAGAUUGUGAAAGGCUUCCAAUAAA